UGGCUCACUUGGUAGAGCAUGGUGUUUGCAACACCUUGGGUUGUGAGUUCGAUUCCCAC
rnacentral:tRNA from 1 species